rnacentral:rRNA from 1 species
GCGGUAAUUCCAGCUCCAAUAGCGUAUAUUAAAGUUGUUGCGGUUAAAAAGCUCGUAGUUGAAUCUGUGUGUCACGAUGUUGGUUCACCGCUCGCGGUGUUUAACUAGCAUGCCGUGAGACGUCCUACCGGUGGGCUUAGCUCUUCGGGGCGGUCCAACUAAUAUCCCAUCGCGGUGCUCUUCAUUGAGUGUCGAGGUGGGCCGGUACGUUUACUUUGAACAAAUUAGAGUGCUUAAAGCAGGCUAUUUUCGCCUGAAUACUGUGUGCAUGGAAUAAUGGAAUAGGACCUCGGUUCUAUUUUGUUGGUUUUCGGAACCCCGAGGUAAUGAUUAAUAGGGACAGAUGGGGGCAUUCGUAUUGCGACGUUAGAGGUGAAAUUCUUGGAUCGUCGCAAGACGGACAGAAGCGAAAGCAUUUGCCAAAAAUGUUUUCAUUAAUCAAGAACGAAAGUUAGAGGUUCGAAGGCGAUCAGAUACCGCCCUAGUUCUAACCAUAAACGAUGCCAGCUAGCGAUCCGCCGAAGUUCCUCCGAUGACUCGGCGGGCAGCUUCCGGGAAACCAAAGCUUUUGGGUUCCGGGGGAAGUAUGGUUGCAAAGCUGAAACUUAAAGGAAUUGACGGAAGGGCACCACCAGG